AAAUGAUGAAUGCUCAGGAGAGAGAACACACAGGUUCAUCCAGCCCUGCUUGGUCUUAACGCUUCCCUUCAGGAUGGGGCCACGCAUAAUCCAGAGUGCAGUGCAUCAGCCUAUAGAGGGCGCUCUUAAGUAUCAUAGCCAGAUGUAAAAGAGCAAAAUUCCUAUAGGCAAAGAAAUGUGGGCUGGGCGUUUUGGAAUGCCAUUCCUGGAGGGAGGUGUGGGUGAAUGAUUGCCAAUUUUUCCGUUCUAAGCUUAUCUUCAUAGUUGUGAGCAUUUUUCAGGUCCUCAAAAGAGUUAGUAUCUAAGUAUAAAUUUUCUCUUUAAGGUGUUUGCUUAAAGAGGAAACAUCUUUAAGAAGUGAAAGCUGAAGAAUGGGGCCUAAGAUCAAACUUCAAGGUGUUGGUGGCCUAAACGCCUGCCAUCAAAGUAACACAACAGAAUGAUAACUUGAACCAUAUCUGGUGUGACAACAAUUUGAAAAGCGCCACCCAUCCUCUCUGAGACCACAAACAGCGCUGAAGGCAGUGAACCAAGACUUACAAACAAGGGUGUAGACCAAGGAAAAUGCUGGGGGCCAGAGGAGGAGAAAGCAAGAAGAUAGAAACACCAUAGUUUCAAGAGGGAGGGGAGCAGAAAGCCGCCAGCUCUCCAAAAAACAAGAAGCAAAACCCAGAACUCAAACCUCAUGAAAGUAUCACGAGGUUGAAGCCUUUAAAAGGUGUUUUUACAGCAGAUUUUAGAGACUUCUCACCUUACCAACGGUUAUAAACCCGUAUCCUUGCAAAUUCAGCAGUAGAGUCAUUAGAUUGCCCUCUCAGCCUCUGCACGUGAAGGGUCUCAGGGCUUUUCAGGACAUCUUUAGGGUCAGGUUUCGUGAAAUAGGUAGGUUGGGCCAGCUUUCUGGGGACUCUAAGCAACCUUGGAGAAAAUGGGCAGGAGUAAAUAAAGGUAUGCCAGCUUGCUUUUUCCAGUGGGGACUUGGCAAAUGCCAAAAACAGUAUAAAUAUUAUAUUCCCAUCUUCUAAUAUCAUGGAAACCCAUGGUGGCAAUGGGGCGCAGGGCUCACUAGCCACCCUGAGGUGAAGAAGUGGCCCCUCAGAGAUCUGAAGCUGGUUAGCAAGAGUUCACCAGGGCCUAGCUCCUUGUCCCUCAGGGAAAGCCCCUGGGUGCUAUAGCCCACCACCUGGAAGGGGCAGCCCCUGGAGAAAUGUUAGAAUUCUGGGUGAAUUAUUUUCUUAUGAAAUUUCAUCCAAAGUUUUAACAAAGUACCAAAUAGGAGAGUUGUUAAGUAUUGUGAGUGAGUGAGGUGGAGGAAGCAGAGCGGGGAAGGGGUGGCUCCACUCUCUCACUAUAUUCACUGCUCAUCCUAGAGAUGACCUAGUGUCAAAAACGUUGCAAAUGCAACCAGCUGCCUGUUGCAUCCAUGUAGUUCAGUUGUUGCUAUUUACAGGGUAGUAUAAAUGCCCGGUGCUGCUAUGAACCAAGGUGCUGAGUAUCAAAUGUUCCUGGAAGAGCACCUAGUAGUGUUUCAUUGGAUGGUUUCUAGUAAAAACUUUAUGCAAAAGUAAUAUGGUAUUGCUGAUUAUAGGUAUUAUCUGAUAAUAAUAAUCCUGUCAAGUACUUGCUUGGGCCAGAUCACUCUGUGAAGGCAGAAAGUUGGCAAUGCUUGUCUUAAAUGCAAGAUUCUUUCUCUUUUCUUCCUCCCUCCCUCCCUCCUAUUCAACCAUCCUUUAUUCACCCUUGGAAAAAUUUGGGCUCUGCAUUCACUCUUGCACAAUCCUGUAAUCUCAUGGUUUACUUUAUGAUGACAAUAUUAAUGACAAUAAAGGCACAUUUUCCCUAAGA
rnacentral:lncRNA from 1 species